UUCCCUGGUGUGGGGGGAUAGCCGGGCCCAACGACCGGGUAAUACCGCAUACGGCUCCUGCUUUAGAAGCGGGAAGCGAAACUCGCAAGAGGCGCUAGGAGGGGCUCGCGGCCUAUCAAGCUAGUUGGUGCGGUCACGGCGCACCAAGGCGAUGACGGGUAGCUGGUCUGAGAGGAUGGCCAGCCACAUUGGGACUGAGAAACGGCCCAGACUCCUACGGGAGGCAGCAGUGGGGAAUCUUGCGCAAUGGCCGAAAGGCUGACGCAGCGACGCCGCGUGGGGGAUGAAGGCCUUCGGGUUGUAAACCCCUGUUGCUCGGGACGAACAACACCAUUCGUGGUGUCUGACGGUACCGGGUGAGGAAGCACCGGCUAACUCUGUGCCAGCAGCCGCGGUAAUACAGAGGGUGCGAGCGUUGUCCGGAAUCACUGGGCGUAAAGGGCGCGUAGGCGGUCCGCUAAGUGUGUGGUGAAAGCUCGGGGCUCAACCCCGAGUCGGCCGUGCAAACUGGUGGACUUGAGCAUGUCAGAGGCAGGCGGAAUUCCGGGUGUAGCGGUGGAAUGCGUAGAGAUCCGGAAGAACACCGGUGGCGAAGGCGGCCUGCUGGGACAUGGCUGACGCUGAGGCGCGACAGCGUGGGGAGCAAACAGGAUUAGAUACCCUGGUAGUCCACGCCGUAAACGAUGGGCACUAGGUGCUUGGGGGAGCGACCCCCUGAGUGCCGGCGCUAACGCAUUAAGUGCCCCGCC
rnacentral:rRNA from 1 species